rnacentral:rRNA from 1 species
GAUGAACGCUGGCGGCGUGCCUAAUACAUGCAAGUCGAGCGAACGGACGAGAAGCUUGCUUCUCUGAUGUUAGCGGCGGACGGGUGAGUAACACGUGGAUAACCUACCUAUAAGACUGGGAUAACUUCGGGAAACCGGAGCUAAUACCGGAUAAUAUUUUGAACCGCAUGGUUCAAAAGUGAAAGACGGUCUUGCUGUCACUUAUAGAUGGAUCCGCGCUGCAUUAGCUAGUUGGUGAGGUAACGGCUUACCAAGGCAACGAUGCAUAGCCGACCUGAGAGGGUGAUCGGCCACACUGGAACUGAGACACGGUCCAGACUCCUACGGGAGGCAGCAGUAGGGAAUCUUCCGCAAAGGGCGAAAGCCUGACGGAGCAACGCCGCGUGAGUGAUGAAGGACUUCGGAUCGUAAAACUCUGUUAUUAGGGAAGAACAUAUGUGUAAGUAACUGUGCACAUCUUGACGGUACCUAAUCAGAAAGCCACGGCUAACUACGUG